UGUAUAUGUAUUUUCUAAUUUGGAAUUAUAAUGCAGUGCUAUGCUAUUUAUUUUGGUGCUCAAAUUGUCCCAGCUUUGGCCGCUGGGAGCUCUCCCACGUUGGCUCCUGUGUCCCUUUGACAUGCCCCACCAUUUUGUUUUUUGUGAACUUCCUUACUUUAUGAUACUAUAAGUUACUCCAGGAUUAUUUUUAUUUUCUUUCUCUUCCCCAACCCUAGAAUCAACCAUUUUCCCAAGGAUCCUUGAUUUCUUUUAUUGGAAAAUGGUAUUUAGAAAUCAGGAUGUGCGUGCUGGGUUUACUCUUGGCUGCUGGGGUGUGACUGCUUCCAGGCCCUCUCAGGGGACACAGCUAGAUGUAAUAAUCCUGCGGCCAGCUACAAUAUGCCAUUCUUCUGCACCUUGGUCAGUGGGACAGAUCCCUGGGCUCCUCCAGGGGAGAAGGAGGAGAAAACUUCUUUCCCACUUGGGACAUGGUUACGGCUGGGUUUUGCAGCUCUCACUAUCUCCCCUGCAGGGAUGGCCUGGAUCCUGCCAUGUAAAUCAAAGAAGAGAGGGCCUGACUCAGCUGCCUAGCCUGCGUCACCUGGAACCCAUUAUGAUACAGGAUCAUAAACACCUCCAUUUUCCCUCCAGAGAGAGACCAGACCCACUGAAGUUAAGCUACCUGCAUAAGAGUUGAGUGCGAUCAGCUGUACUUAAUCUUUAAAUGUCCAACCCACUGAUAACCUUUGGUUUGCUUUGAUAACUGUGAAAUAAAUUCUCACUGCAUCGGAUGCCGGCAUUCUGGUUUCUAUUCAAGGCUGUGGUGCAGAUGUCAUGGAAUCUUGGACUGGACAACAGUCCUUGGAGAUCUCUGGGGCCAGUUACUGGCUUUUAGGCAUUUAAUUUCUAAGCCUCCCUCUGCCAACUCUAAAUUUCUUCGGGGAAUGCCAUGGCAUUUGUGCAUCACCAAGCUUUAGGUGCUCUCUGGGGUGAGAACCAUUUGGAGGUGGGAGAAAUGGGAGAAAAAGAAAGACCCAGCAAAUUCAAAGCUUCACAACAUGGUAUAACAGGAAGAACACUGUCUAAGUUUCAAGCAUCUUGGGUUUGAAUCCAACUCUUCUGUUCUCACCCUGCCUCAGCUUCCUAGCCAUGCAAUCUUGGGAAAAGGAUGUUAGCUCUUUUGCCCUUAGUUUUUCUCUUCUGUAAAGUGAAUGGGAAUGGUCAG
rnacentral:lncRNA from 1 species